rnacentral:tRNA from 1 species
CCGGGGAUGGCGGAGUGGUCAAUCGCAUCUGACUGUAAAUCAGACGUCCAAGGGACUACGGAGGUUCGAAUCCUUCUCCCCGGA